CCCAACCAGGGGGAGCAGCAGCAGCGCUCAGCGCCCGGCACAUUCCUCAGACGGACAUACGAUGGCUCAGCCACAGGAACCAAUGGGAGCAGCCUGGAGCGUACAGCGGCAGCCGUGGGACUAGCGGGAAUUACAGGCACAUGAUUCUGUGGGACUAAAAGCUGGAUAAAACACAAACAAAGAGCCAGAAAACCCUGAAAUUGAUGUACUGUAGCAGAAAACUGCUGGAUUGCUGACAAGCAGAACAGCGUGAGUUGCACUGCAUUUGACGGUCCAAGCCUACAGUGAUUGCCAAAACAACUCUCAGAGGCAUUCUAGGAAGCAGGCUUAUCGAGGUUAGAACAUCCUAUGUAGCACACAGAGGAAGGCAAGGAACUCAACACCCCAUUGACAGUAUUCUCCAAGCUCCCAGCAAUCAGCAGUUCUGGCAAUUCGUAUGUUUUCACUUCUGGUUGGAGCAAGCCUGCCAGCCCAGUACAUGCUUUCAUUAUGUGGCCAACCAUUACCUUACAGCAGACAUCACUGGUGGACAAAUUCAUUAUUGACAAGCAGGAUCACCAAGAACGAUGGGAUGGAUACAAUAUACCUGGACCCAGGCUGUCAGAGAAGAAAAGACACGCCCUCAAGAUCAUGUAACAUAGUAACAUAAUUUCUGCAGUUGAAAAAAUACAAUUUGUUCAUCAAGUUCAACCUAUUUGUGGUCUCCUGUGCUGUAUUAUUUUUAGGACCAAUUUUAUCUGUUGUGAAUGUCGGCUGUUGUGUUUAUUUCUCUAUUGUAAACUAUAGUGCAUGAUCUACCCACCAUAAGCCUGUAUACCCUUAUCCAUUAGGAAUUUAUCUAGCCC